GAUGAAGAACGCAGCGAAAUGCGAUACGUAAUGUGAAUUGCAGAUUUCAAUGAAUCAUCGAAUCUUUGAACGCACAUUGCGCCCGCUAGUAUUCUGGCGGGCAUGCCUGUUCGAGCGUCAUUUCAACCAUCAAGCCCUGUGCUUGUGUUGGAGCCCUGCGGCUGCCGCAGGCUCCCAAACCCAGUGGCGGGCUCGUCGUCGUACCGAGUGCAGUAAACAUACCACGCUCAGGGCACGCGACGGGUGACCGGCCGUAAAACCCCCCCCUUCUCAAGGUUGACCUCGGAUCAGGUAGGAAUACCCGCUGAACUUAAGCAUAUCAAUAAGCGGAGGA
rnacentral:misc_RNA from 1 species